rnacentral:rRNA from 1 species
GGGGGGAGCAAGCGUUGUUCGGAUUUACUGGGCGUAAAGGGCGCGUAGGCGGCGCAACAAGUCACUUGUGAAAUCUCCGGGCUUAACUCGGAGCGGCCAAGUGAUACUGUCGUGCUAGAGUGCGGAAGGGGCAACUGGAAUUCUCGGUGUAGCGGUGAAAUGCGUAGAUAUCGAGAGGAACACCUGCGGCGAAGGCGGGUUGCUGGGCCGACACUGACGCUGAGGCGCGAAAGCCAGGGGAGCGAACGGGAUUAGAUACCCCGGUAGUCCUGGCCUUAAACGAUGGAUGCUUGGUGUCCGGGGUUACAUAGUCCCCGGGUGCCGUCGCUAACGCCUUAAGCAUCCCGCCUGGGGAGUACGCACGCAAGUGUG